rnacentral:rRNA from 1 species
GUGUCAGCAGCCGCGGUAAUACGAACUGCGCGAACGUUAUUCGGAAUCACUGGGCUUAAAGGGUGCGUAGGCGGCGAUACAAGUCAGAUGUGAAAGCCAACAGCUCAACUGUUGAAUUGCGUUUGAAACUGUAUUGCUUGAGUGUGACAGGGGUAUUCGGAACUUCCAGUGGAGCGGUGAAAUGUGUUGAUAUUGGAAGGAACACCGGUGGCGAAAGCGGAAUACUGGGUCAUUGCUGACGCUGAGGCACGAAAGCCAGGGUAGCGAACGGGAUUAGAUACCCCAGUAGUCC